rnacentral:rRNA from 1 species
UACGUAGGGAGCAAGCGUUGUUCGGAAUUACUGGGCGUAAAGGGUGUGUAGGUGGUGUCGUAAGUUUGGUGUGAAAUCUCCCGGCUUAACUGGGAGGGUGCGCCGAAGACUGCGAUGCUGGAGUAUGGGAGAGGAAAGCGGAAUUCCUGGUGUAGCGGUGAAAUGCGUAGAUAUCAGGAGGAACACCUGCGGUGUAGACGGCUUUCUGGACCAUUACUGACACUGAGACACGAAAGCGUGGGUAGCAAACAGG